CAGUAGCCGCGGGAAAACCAAGGGUGCAAGCGUUAAUCGGAAUUACUGGGCGUAAAGCGCGCGUAGGUGGUUUGGUAAGAUGGAUGUGAAAUCCCCGGGCUCAACCUGGGAACUGCAUCCAUAACUGCCUGACUAGAGUACGGUAGAGGGUGGUGGAAUUUCCUGUGUAGCGGUGAAAUGCGUAGAUAUAGGAAGGAACACCAGUGGCGAAGGCGACCACCUGGACUGAUACUGACACUGAGGUGCGAAAGCGUGGGGAGCAAACAGGAUUAGAUACCCCUGUAGUCCCUGUCUCUUAUAC
rnacentral:rRNA from 1 species